rnacentral:rRNA from 1 species
GGCCGCGGGAAUUCGAUUUACCUUGUUACGACUUCACCCCAGUCGCUGACUAUACCGUGGUCAAGGGUUUAAAACCUUGCCUUAAGGUAGAACCAACUCCCAUGGUGUGACGGGCGGUGUGUACAAGACCCGGGAACGCAUUCACCGUGGCACGCUGAUCCACGAUUACUAGUAAUUCCAGCUUCAUGCACUCGAGUUGCAGAGUGCAAUCCGAACUGAGGCAUCUUUUCGGGAUUUGCUUAACGUUGCCGUUUUGCUUCCUGUUGUAGAUGCCAUUGUAGCACGUGUGUAGCCCAACACGUAAGGGCCAUGAGGACUUGACGUCAUCCCCACCUUCCUCCAGCUUAUCACUGGCAGUUCUUUCAGAGUGCCCAACUUAAUGAUGGCAACUAAAAGUGAGGGUUGCGCUCGUUGCGGGACUUAACCCAACAUCUCACGACACGAGCUGACGACAGCCAUGCAGCACCUGUGUUUCGUCCGGCCGAACCGAAAACUCUAAUCUCUUAGAGUCGCGACGAACAUGUCAAGUGUUGGUAAGGUUCUGCGCGUAUCUUCGAAUUAAACCACAUGCUCCACUACUUGUGCGGGUCCCCGUCAAUUCAUUUGAGUUUUACCUUGCGGUCGUACUCCCCAGGCGGUGUGUUUAUCGGNUUCCCUGCGACACUGAAAAUAAAUUUCCNACGUCUAACACACAUCGUUUAC